rnacentral:lncRNA from 1 species
AGUGUGCUGACUGCAGCUUUACAUCUGUACUAGCCCAGUGCAAGGGAGGGGAGUGCUGGGCACUCGGAUCCUGAACCCCAACAAACAAACUGACUGACCAAAGCCAGCUUCAUUUCCAUCAACACAUUUUGAGCUCCUUAGAAAAGAGACCUCAGCUCUUCAACCAAGGGCCUAGCAUGUUGCAAAAUAGACUCUCAGUCGAUGUUUAUGGAACCGAUGAACAAGUCUGGAGGUGGUCAUCUGCUAAAAGGAGUUGCAGCGCCACAUUACGAGGUGGCUCCCAGUCCUUGGUGAGUCGGUAAUACACAGUCAUAAAGUGGAUGGAUGACAGGUAUGUCCAAGUGGGGGGUGGGAAGAAUGAAUGAGGUACAGGAAAGAGAAACUGACUUGCUCAUUCUACUCCUCCUUGAUGAAUUCUUUAAGCAGAAGACUCCAAAGACAUAUUCCAUGUCUUCUCCAGAAGAUGGCUGGGGACCCUUCCCUUGUUAGGUACCAAAUGUGAGGAAUUCGUAUGAGGAGGAGGGGAAGCAAAGUCAGGCAGUUUUGUAAGAGGUAGGUCCCACAAGUCAGCAUAGACAGGAAUGGUCUCCAUGAUCUGGAGCAGGUAGUAGAGCCUCUCAGAAGCCAUAGGACUCACUCACUAAGCUUUCUAAAGAUGUAAGCAGUAGGACCAGAAUUCGAAUGUGAGUCAUCUGGCUUCCCAUACCUCCUCCUGUUUCCCUCUGGACCAAGAGUCCAGGAAGGCUGCCAUUCUGGACAUCAAACUUUUAGACAGAUGGUCUUUACCACCUGCCCUCACCGUGUGCACAUGCCCUUUGUCAGGUAGCAAUCUCAAAGGGGACUGUCCCAAUUGCAUCAGGUUCUAAGAAGAACUUCCAUGGCCCAAAGCCCCUCUCCUGAGGACCAGUGGAUAAGCAAUAUAGCAGGCCUGGGGUCACAGCUUCCAUCAGAAAAUGAGUCUCCCUACUUCCCACCACUCUUUCCCAAAUGUUUAUUCUUCCAGACAGGGCCUUCCAGAAAAUCCUGGAAAAGGCGGAAAAACACAAAUAAAUAAAUGGAGGGAAACGGAUAAAUACUAACAUACAGAGGUUACUCGAACUGCCUGCCCUGGAUAUUUAUUCCUUGAAUUGGUUUGACUAAAGCUGUUCCUGUUCUCACAGAAAUCCUCUGAAAGCACUGGGGUGUGUCCGGGGCUGUUCGUCUGGCCAUUAUGCCAUUUGAAUAUUUCCAGUCAAGGUUUAGUCUCUGCACAUCUUUGAGAGUCCUCUAAUCAGAGAAAUUAACUCUCAUCAGACACAAGAAUUAAUCUUUGUUAGUGUUGAUGUCAGUCUAACUUUGCCUUCCUCCGUGCCAGACGUGGUGAGGGACAUCCUAGCAGUGAGUUGCUGCCACUGCCAAAGACCUCAACAGACGAAUGGAAGCUGCCCCUCCUCCCACUGGAGGUGGGAGGUCUGUGUGGCGCAAGAAUUCUAACCUGAUGCUCAUCGCUGUGUGUUAUACACAGAGACCUAACAUUAUUGAGUUACUUGAAAGUGUGAGUAUGCUUAUGGGAAGACAGGCAAGGAGGUCCUUGGGAAGGGUACCAACUCCAAAUGCCACCUAGCCAGGUGUCAGGCGGUGGCACCCAAAGAGGAGGGCAGAUUUGUCAUUGGCUCGCCAUUGUGUUAAAUGAAGUCUCAUACUUUGAAAUCAUUCUUGGGGGGGUGGGGGUGGGGCAGGGGCAGCAAAGGUGACGGCAGGCCUCCAAUCACAUCCAUGAGAAGUCUGGUGACAACUCCGAGCUUCUGUGAAUCACAACUUGAGUCAAAGAGAACCUGCAAUGUUAAGGAAAUCUGAUUGCUGCCGAAUAAAUAAAUGAGAUGUUAACACC